GUGCCAGCAGCCGCGGUAAUACCGGCAGCCCAAGUGAUGGCCGCUGUUAUUUGGCCUAAAGCGUCCGUAGCUGGCCGCACAAGUCCGUCGGGAAAUCCGCCCGCUCAACGGGCGGCCGUCCGGCGGAACCUGUGUGGCUUGGGACCGGGAGGCCUGGGGGGUACGAUCGGGGUAGGAGUGAAAUCCUGUAAUCCCGCUCGGACCGCCGAUGGCGAAAGCACGUCGCGAGAACGGAUCCGACAGUGAGGGACGAAAGCCAGGGUCUCGAACCGGAUUAGAUACCCGAGUAGUCC
rnacentral:rRNA from 1 species